rnacentral:rRNA from 1 species
CUCACCCUUUCUUGUUCACUCCAGCCUAUAUACCGCCGUCGCCAGCUCACCCCUUGAGGGUUAACAAAUGUGAGCCAAACUGGUACAUUACCCGAUAAGUCAGGUCGAGGUGUAGCGUAAGGAAGGGGAAGAAAUGGGCUACAUUCCCUAAUUUAGUGAAUACAGAGGAUUAACCCUGAAACAAGGUAUCCAACGGUGGAUUUAGCAGUAAGAAGGGAAUAGAGUGCCCCUCUGAAGCUGGCUAUGGAGCGUGCACACACCGCCCGUCACUCUCUCCGAGCACCUUCGCCAUAAAUUUAUUUAAACAACAAGAUAUGCAUAGGGGAGGCAAGUCGUAACAUGGUAAGCGUACUAGAAAGUGCGCUUGGCUGAAUU